rnacentral:misc_RNA from 1 species
GAUGAAGAACGUAGCGAAAUGCGAUACGUAAUGUGAAUUGCAGAAUUCAGCGAACCAUCGAAUCUUUGAACGCACAUUGCGCCCGCCAGUAUUCUGGCGGGCAUGCCUGUCCGAGCGUCAUUUCCCCCCUCACGCGCCCCGUUGCGCGCUGGUGUUGGGGCUCCUCCGCCUGGCGGAGGGCCCCGAAAGCGAGUGGCGGGCCCGGCUGGUUGGCUCCGAGCGCAGUACCGAACGCAAGUUCUCCCCUCGCUCAGACGCCCCGCCGGCGCCCUGCCGUCAAAACGCGCAUGACGUGCAACUCUUUUUACAAGGUUGACCUCGGAUCAGGUAGGACUACCCGCUGAACUUAAGCAUAUCAAUAAGCGGAGG